CAGUUAAAGUCUGAAAAGUCAGUCAGUCCCACAGGAGCAGAGUUACAGCCUGAGCACUGUUGUGUCUUCGCCUUGUUUUUCUCCGCUCAAAUGUGGACUUGGGACUCGGCUGUAGGCUGUCACAAAAGUUCAUUUACCUCGGAGAAAAUGUCAGCGACAUACUGGCUGUCAGAGAGGCUGACAUUUUGACAUAAUGGAAACGCUUUCGAGUGAAUUUAACCGCCUGUGCACGUUUGAGAGCUUUAAGGAAAUCUGGCCGUGUUACACUUUCGCUUGUGAGCAGCAGGAGCUGAUCCGCCGUGAAUUUUCCAGGCUCAAAGAUAUUACCUACCUCGAUCAUGCUGGGACAACGCUCUUUGCUGAAUCCCAGGUCAAAGCGUUUUAUGAGGAUAUAUCCAGGAAUGUGUACGGUAACCCUCACAGUCUCAGUCCCAGCAGUAAAAUGACACAUGACACGGUGGAGCGGGUCAGAUACAGGAUACUGGAGCACUUUAACACAAGCCCUGAUGAAUACUCAGUCAUUUUCACUCCAGGCUGCACUGCAGCUCUUAAAUUAGUGGCUGAAACUUUUCCUUGGACGUCUGCUUCUGAUGAACAUUCAGGAAGUCAAUUCUGCUACCUCACCGACAAUCACACAUCAGUAGUUGGCAUUCGAGGGGUAACUGGACCUCAAGGAGUGGGAGCAGUGCCCGUGUUUCCUCAGGAAAUAGAAGAAAAGGCCAAAGCUAGCCAAGUCAUGAUGAAUACACAGGAUGAAUGCUUGGUGGCACAUCUUUUUUGUUAUCCUGCCCAGAGCAAUUUUUCUGGGCGGAAAUAUCCUAUGAGUUAUGUGAGAGGGAUUCAGUGCCAGCAGCUCUACCCAGCAUGUGAGCAUAGGGGUCGGUGGUUUGUUCUGCUGGAUGCUUCCGGAUUUGUUGGCUGCUCACAACUGGACCUGAAGCAACACCCAGCUGAUUUUGUGCCCAUCUCUUUCUAUAAAAUGUUUGGAUUCCCCACUGGACUUGGAGCCUUGCUGGUGAGGAAUGAAGUUGCUGAGCUGUUGAAAAAGAAGUAUUUUGGUGGAGGCACAGCAGCAGCUUAUCUGGUGGGGGAGGACUACUUUGUACCAAAGUCUGACAUUGUUAGCAGAUUUGAAGAUGGAACCAUUUCAUUCCUUGAUAUUAUUUCCCUCCACCAUGGGUUUGAUGCUUUGCACAGACUGACUGGAAGCAUGAUGAACAUACAGCUUCACACAUUUGGCCUAGCUCAUUAUACUUACACCAUACUGUCUUGCCUGUGCCACAGCAAUGCACAACCUGUGGCUCAGAUCUAUUGUGACAGUGAGUUUGAGAAUGCAACAGAUCAGGGUGCUAUCAUCAACUUCAACUUGCUGGACUGCCAUGGCCAAGUGAUCGGAUACUAUCAGGUGGACAAAAUGGCCUGUCUGUUCAAUAUCCAUUUGCGCACAGGCUGUUUCUGUAACACUGGGGCCUGCCAGGCAUAUCUAGGCAUCAGCAACCAAGAGGUAAAGAGUAACUUACAGGCCGGUCAUGUCUGUGGAGACAACAUUGACCUGAUUGAUGGACGUCCAACCGGGUCUGUCCGGAUAUCCUUUGGGUAUAUGUCAACUUUUGAAGACUGUCAGAGUUUCUUAAAGUUUAUUGUUGACUGCUUUGUGGAAAAACCACUAAUAUUGAACCAUGAGAGACUGGCAAGGUUAAAGUCAACUGGAAUGGCAGAGACCUCGGUUUCCAAUGAGCUGACGUCAAUCGAGAGACCCGUGCCUAUGAUGAAUGACCUAAAUAUCUCUCCUGCUUCUGUCAGUCAAACAUUUUUACAGGAUACUAUUCCAAAGGCAGAUAGGAACAGUGAAAUUACUUAUACACUGACCAAUAUCUUCAUAUAUCCCAUUAAGUCCUGUGCUGCAUUUGAGGUGACAGAAUGGCCUUUGGGCCCUCAGGGACUCUUAUAUGACCGCAUGUGGAUGGUAGUGAAUGAGAAUGGAGUGUGUCUGAGUCAGAAGAGAGAACCCAAACUGUGUCUAAUAAAUCCACACAUCUGCCUAAACUCCAAGACGCUGUGUCUGGAAGCCUCAGGUAUGGAUCCAAUUACUGUUCCCCUGGAGAUCAGUAAAGAAAAGCAUGGCUCAAGAACAUGUCAAAGCAAAGUCUGUGGUGACAGGGUGCAGACUGUUGACUGUGGGGAGGAAGUAUCAGUCUGGUUGUCAGAGUUCCUGGGAAAACCUUGCAGUCUCAUUAGACAGAGUCCCAGUUUUGUCCGGGAUAUGAAAAUGGGCACAGGAAUGGGUGCCUGUCUCUCUCUGGUGAAUGAGGCUCAGUUUUUGCUAAUUAACAGAGCUAGCAUGGCACUUCUGCUUAAUCACAUCAUUAACAGGCAAGGCAGUUCAAAUAAUUGCACCUCUUUUGACAUGCUGCAACUCAUCAAUCGUUUUCGGGCGAACCUCGUUAUCUCAGGCUCAGAGCCUUUUGAAGAAGAGGACUGGACAAGUGUAAAAAUAGGCAGCACACCCUUUCAGGUGGCAGGGAAAUGUAGUCGUUGCCAAAUGAUUGGAAUAGAUCAGACCUCUGGCACUAAAUCCCAGGAGCCUCUCAGAUCUCUGUCUGAUUGCCGGAGUGGAAAGAUUACAUUUGGAGUGUACUUGAAUCAUCUGUUACCGAGAUCCAAUCCAUAUCCUAUGUUGUCUGUUGAGUCCCAUGUGAUGGUCAAACCAACAGCUGAAUGUUAGACAACUGCUGCAACAUGGAGCAUGUGUAAAAAUCCCAGGAUUAAACUGUGUCUGUAAAACUGAAUAAGUCUUAUGUCAAAUUUACACUGCUGAUAAUCUAACCAUUAUAUUAAAUACACAACUUAUAAGCAAAUAGGACAUCACUCACAAGGCUAUGUUCCAUGGGUGGCUAAAUUCUAUGUAAGCAUUUGUAGAUAGGUUGUAUUGUACAGUCUGGAGUGAAGGCUAACCUGCUGAUCUGAACCCACAGACAAGCUACUGUAACAAACACUGCUGAAACUAUUUAUGUUGGCUAUGACAGAAAGGUAUCAGAACACACAGUGUUGGGCAUGUGAGCAUCAGAACUGGAUUAUGGAGCAAUGGAAGAAGUUAGGCCUGGUCUGAUGAAUCAAGUUUUCUUUUGCAUUAUAUUGACUACUAUGUGUGUGUGCAUCACUUGCCUGGGGAAAAGAUCUGAAGAAGUUCACAUGGAUAUUAGAUUGACAUUUACCACCUACCUAAACACUGUUGCAGACCACUGUUAUGCCCUGACACACUGCAAAAAUUGUUCAGAAAUGAUUUGAGGAACAUGACCAGAGUUCAAGGUGGCCUGACCUUGACUCCCAAAUUCCACAGAUCUUAAUCAGAUCGAGCAUCUGUGGGAUGUGCUGGAGAAACAAGUCAGAUCCAUGGAGAGCCCAUCCAUGUGCCCACCAUGGAGAAACAUACAGGACUUAAAGGAUCUGGUUGUAACAUCUUGGCGACAAAUACCACAGCACACCUUCAGAGGGCUUGUGGAAUCCGUCUGUCGAUGGGAGUUGUUUUGGCAGCACAAGAGGGAACUACACAAUAUUAGGUUUUAACAUUAUGGCUGAUUGGUGUAUGAGACAACCUUGAAAGAUUAAGAGAACAUAUAUAAAGCUUAUUGUAAAUUUAAUGCAGUGUGCUGAUUCUCACUCACCUCAUAUCAUUUAACAUGAAGCUCAAGGGCCACAUUAACCACAGCCCAUUCUCUACAGUGAUAAUAAACUCAGCAAGGUCUGGCUUGAAUCAUUUUUUCUAAAGAAAAAAAAAAGGAUUUUUACCAAAAAAUAGGUAAACGCUGCUCCACACAACAAAAGAAAGUGCUUUUUCUCAAGCUCGAACACCCAGGGAAAAAAUCAUUGUAAUUGAUUUUAAACUCUCUAAUGGAUUAUUGCUACUAAGUACAUUAUGCAAAUCUUUUAGGGCAUUUUAAUGAAUGUUUCAUGCUGCCGUUGUUGUCUGAAACAUGCUGAUGGCAUUAGUGUCAUUUGAACUGAAAGGAGAGGUAAACAUCAACCCAUCACAUCUGUUUAAAAGAAAAACAAGGCUUACUGUUUAAUGGGAACAUGUGCUUAUAGUCUGCUUAACACGGUUCUGUGUAGAGUACUGGUGUUUGUAUUGUAAAUAAGAAUUAGUAUGUUUAUUUCUAUUAGAUUAUCUGACAGGAGAAAAGAGCAAUGCUGAUAUUGUUGAUAUAAGGGUGUUUUUUUGUUGCCUGCCAUGUAAUCUUUUGGGUUUUCUUGUAAUUGCAGUGUAUUAUCCUCAGAUAAAAUUAAGAGUCAGCAGUUGAGCUGAAACAUAAAUACAUUGACUAUACUGUAUAUAAAUCAAAACAGCAUUACAGCUACCUCUGCUACAUGGCAUGGAUUCUAAAAAGGAUAUGAAAUUUCACUAAAAUAAUUUGGAUUUUAUUUCAGUUUAUAUUUCAGAGGUUAUAAACAGGAUGGAACAGAAACAGGUUUUUUUGCCUCACUUAUCUGUGACUCUCCAGGCUUUGGCUAUCUGUAGUUCUUAAACAUGAUUUUGUGUGUCACAUGCAGUUAAUAAAACCACUCCCUAAAUGUUUUCCAGUAAGUGCUGUAUCAUUCCAUCACUAGACAGCGCUAUAAUCCAAGGGGGAACUGAAAUAUUCAUGAAAACAUCUGCCUGACAGAAUGAAAAUGUUAAUUCUAUGAAUCAUGUUUCAACACCGAACUGACUGAAAAAGAUCAAGUCAUUCCUCAUUGCCACAGUCCAUCACAUAGUGAUUAGACCCUUUAAUCGACUCACAUGCAACUCUUUUUCUCUUUAAUCCAAUUUAAUAGAAAUCAUUUGUAAAUAAUGUUCAUGCAUUCCUGUCUCAUGACUACAGUUCCCAGGAGAGGCUCCAGAUCCACCUCAACCCUGAUCAGCAGUUACUGAGGAUGAAUAAAUGAAUGAAUAAUUUUAAUGUAUGCAGAUUCAUAAGUUCAUAUCUAAAGACUGCAAUGUUUGAAAACAGUCAUCCGCCCUAAAAUAAUAAGUUUAGAGAUGUUAUUCUCUGCUAAUGGUGUCAGUGUAGUUUUCAAUAGAGAAAUAACAUGCAGCAACAGGCAGGUUAAUCAAGAAAUUAACAGGAAUAGCUAUCUAGCAGGCACUUUUAUUAAUAGAGAGAUGCUAACAGGACCAAACUGACAUGAGAAUGAAAUGGAUAAUGAAUCAUUUAAACCUUUGGAUAAAAAUAGGAUCAGUUUACAUAUAAAAAUAAAAAAGUUUAUCAGAACUUCUACAGACCUGAGGAAUGCACAGAUUAAGAGUACAUAAGAUUUAUGCAACAUCUGCUUGGUAUUUUAUUGAUUUUCCAUACCACCCAUCUUCCAUCUUAUUGAAUAGCCUUUUUAAAUGGUUCAACAUCUAACAAGGUUUUAGAGAUUUUCAUUGGUCUACCCUCACUCCCUCAUAAAUUCUUCUAGAAUGACGAAGCUAGAUUAGAUUUCUUCGCAGGCGUAUAGCUCGGUAUCAUGCACUUUUUAAUGCUUUGCAUGGAUUUGUUUAAAUGUAAAUAUUCUUCCGAAGCACGUAGAUGCCAUUUUUGACAUGCAGUUUGCACAAUGAUAGCCUUCUAGUUAUCAGCUUUCCUGACUUAUUAUCUAAAAUAACCUUGUAGCUCCAGAACAAACAAACUAAAAAGAUAGGAAAUCAUGUUUGGGCUGAUUAAUUAUAUUUUCUGUAAGGUACAAAACUCUUCAAAUUUAUUUGUUUUGUUUAUUUAUUUUCACAAUGACUUAUUAAUGGUUACUGUGUGUCUGAGUUCCUCUGAUUAAUGCCUAAGCUUCUGCUUUGAUUCAUGAUGAUGCCAAGUAACUUGCAACUUUUUGGGAAGAACAAUUUUGUGAAAUUAGACACGAGCAGAAUUUCAGACAGUGUUCUGAACUUAACUCCAGAGUAAUCAAUACAAUUAAUCUUUUUCCACAAGUAAUUUGCAAGUCUAUUACACAAAAUACUAUGGAACAAAACCUUUCUGCAGUAAUUUUCAUUACAAUACACAAGGUGCCUCAUGUUCUCAUCUUCACUUUGUUUCAGUCAACUGCUGACUAGUUGCUGUGUAGUUUCAAAGAAACUGCUUUGUGCUGUGUGCACAUUCAGUACCCUGUGUCAGGACUUCUUAAACUCUUAUCAGCCAAUGACUAAAGUGUCAAAUAAAUUCUUUAAAGAUGUAUUCUAUGAACAUAGUCCAAUUAUUUAAAUAUUAGAUUCAUUUUUAAUGUGCACAAAAUAUGCCGGCUACUUAUCAGAGUUAAAGAACUUUUUUACUUUUGAAAUUUCCAGACAGAAUAUAUUCACCGAUAUCAGGCAUAACAUUAUGAGCACUGAGAGGUUAAGUGAAUAAAACUGAUUAUCUCCUCAUCAUGGCACCUGUUAGUGGUUGGGAUAUGUUAGGCAGCAAGUGAACAUUUUGUCCUCAAAGUUGAUGUGUUAGAAGCAGGAAAAAUGGGCAAGCCUAAGGAUUUGAGUGAGUUUGACAAGGGCCAAAUUGUGAUGGCUAGACAACUAGAUCAGAGCAGCUCUUGUGGGGUGUUCCCAGUCUGCAGUGGUCAGUAUCUAUCAAAAGUGGUCCAUGGGGACAGGGUCAUGGGCGGCCAAGGCUCACUGAUGCAUGUGGGGAGUGAAGGCUGGCCUGUGUGAUCCGAUCCGACAGACGAGAUACUGUUGCUCAAAUUGCUGAAGAAGUUAAUGCUGGUUCUGUUUGAAUGGUGUUAGAAUACACAGUGCAUCGUAGAUUGUUGCGUAUGGGGCUGCAUAGCCGCAGACCAGUCAGGGUGCCCAUGCUACUGUAACAAACACUGCUGAAACUAUUUAUGUUGGCUAUGACAGAAAGGUAUCAGAACACACAGUGUUGGGCAUGUGAGCAUCAGAACUGGACCACGGAGCAACGGAAGAAGCUGGCCUGGUCUGAUGAAUCACGUUUUCUUUUACAUGGGUGCGUUUUUGUCUCUUGCCUAGGAAAUAACUUUAUCUCUAUGUUUAGCUCUAUGUUUGUCUGCGUCACUGUACUUUGUCUUUGUUAUGUGUAGCACCUUUGGUCUAGGAGGAACGUUGUUUCAUUUCACUGUGUACUGCAUCAGCUAUAUAUGGUUGAAGUGACAAUAAAGCUUCUUUGACUUUGACUUGAAAAAAUACAUGGCACCAGGAUGCACUAUGGGAAGAAGGCAGGCCGGUGGAGGCAGUGUCAUGCUUUUGGCAAUGUUCUGUUGAGAAACCUUGGAUCCUGCCAUCAAUGUGGAUGUUAUUUUCACAUGUACCACCUACCUAAGCAUUGUUGCAGACCAUGUACACCCUUUAAUGGAAACGGUAUUCCCUGAUGGCUGUGGCCUCUUUCAGCAGGAUAAAAUGGUUCAGGAGUCGUUUGAUGAGCACAACAACGAGUUUGAGGUGUUGAAUUGGCCUCCAAAUUCCCCAGAUAUCAAUCCAAUUGAGCAUCUGAGUGGGAUGUGCUGGACAAACAAGUCCGAUCCAUGGAAGCCCCACCUCGCGACUUACAGGACUUAAAGGAUCUGCUGCCAGAUACCACAACACACCUUCAGGGAUCUAGUGGAGUCCAUGACUCGACAGGAGGAUUGAGGAUCUCCACCCACCGAGAAACCUUUCCUGCUUCUUCCUGAUCCAAAAAAACUCCACAGAAGUACACUUUAAAGUCUUGCCAGCUCUCCUGGCUAU